CACCUGCUCACCUGAUUUGGAUAAGUGUUUUGCUUUUUUUUCAACAGCAACACGUGUUUUGCUUUUUUUCCAAAACAGCAACACGUCUUCUUUUUCUUAAAGCACUAAAACAGCUGGUGCCGGAGCAAGCAAAAAGCCAUCCCUCAACUAAGUGAUGGCCUCAUAGCUUCCCGUAUUGUUCAAAUUAGGUUUUCCCUUUCAUCUUCUUCUUCUUAUUAUUACCCUAACCCUAGCCUUAGCUAUUCGAAUUCCACUCCUCUUCGCGAAAUCAUGGCGACGACUUUGGUGAGCUCCGCGGGUGGGAUGCUUGCGAUGCAGGACACGCUCUCUCCAACCUCAACAACUUAGCUUUUUAUUAUGGUCUAUUGUCGAUUCUAAAAUCCUAGCUGAUGAAACUGAUGACAACAAUUGAUGUAUAUUGUUUCUGGCUACACCAAAACUCGGUGAGGAUAAAGUCAGGCAGUGUGUUGAUACAAAGACUAGGAGGAGAAUACCCACCCAAAGCUAUUACUAAGUAUAAGGUCAGUCUGGCCCCGGGGAGCGGGUGUAUUGAGGUAAAUUUACAGCUCUGCCUCUGCUCCGAAAGAGCAUUCUCCAAUAACGGUUUCACUCCUUCUGUCGCGCCGCUGCAGAUAUAAAGAAAGAUACUUUACCAGCUCUAAGAGAUAUCAGAGAGCAAUGCAUCAAUCAACUUGAGCAAAUGCGACCUGACCACAUGAGGAGGCUUAACCCAACUCCAUAUAAGGUUAGUGUUAGUGCAAAAUUAUACGACUUCAUUCAUUUCCUGUGGCUCAAUGAGGCACCAGUUGGGGAGCUACAGUAAGGCAAAUAAAAUGGCGGUGUGCCUUCAGAACCCAAUGGGCUACACCAAAACUCAGUGAGGAUAAAGUCAGGCAGUGUGCUGAUACCCAUUUGCAUUUUGUAUUCUGGGUCAAUGCUGUCAUGUUCUCUGCAAAUUAGGGCUUCAAUCCGUGCUCCAGAGUGAUUGAUUCUGUUUCAUGUGUUGAAAAGGAAUGUAGCUGGAAAAGAUUGUGUGUGUUCUGAAUAAUAAAAAUUUCAUCUUCAUUGUUGGGGAUGCUACGGAUUUUGUAAAUUUAGCACCUUUUUUUUUCUUUUUUUGAUUUGGCCCUUAUCCUGGAUUUGUUUCCUUAAUCCCCUUUUGCGGCUAAUCGGAUGAAUAUAUUGGUAAAUCCCAUUGGAUUUGAGUGGAUUCUCCAAUAAAGGUUGGAAAUUUUUUAUCUGCUGGACCCCUUUGGGCACAAAAUUGGUGGUGAAAUUGGGAACAAAUCUGAACAGAAAAAGGCUCUCUAUAGUUACUCGGUGUGGGUGGAUUGAAUGUCAUCUUUGAUGAUGGAUCAUGUUAUUGGUGGGAAGUUUAAACUGGGAAGGAAAAUUGGGAGUGGGUCUUUUGGGGAGCUUUAUAUAGCUGUUAAUAUACAAACCGGAGAGGAGGUGGCUGUCAAGCUGGAAAACAUACAUGGAGGACACUGACAUGGAAGAAGAUGAAGAGGAAUAUACUUUCAGGUUCAAAACCGGGAUGAAUCCUUUGGACUUUGUUGAUGAUAAUGAUGAUUCUGGCAUUCAACCCUACCAGCGGUUCGUGCGUCUUGAACGGGAAGCCCUUGCUGAUAAAAAGCGAAAAGCACCUGAACAAUUUUAUUUUAUUCUCCCAUUCUCUUGCUAAGGUGGUAUUGAAUGUCCGUGAAAAUAUUCUAUAGAUUAUAUAUUAUUUGAAAUUAUAUGCAUAUGGAUUGGAAAACUCUAGAGAUAGCAUCAAAAGACCAAAUUUUGAAUCCAAAACUGUUGUAUCAUUCCCUUUAGGUGGAAAUUUGUUGGAUAUAUUAAUUAGUUGAGCAAUUCGAAGACAAUGUCUUUAUGUUUUUUAUGAUUUUAAUUUUAGUAAGAGUCAUUAUGCUAGAGGAAAAUAUACAAAUGUUUUAAUGUAGAAACAGUAUACAAUUUUUUCUCUCUUUGGGAAUCUUUAUUGAAACACAGAUACUGUUAAAAGCUACGAAAAGAACCUAGCUUUCGAGACCUAGGUGUCUCCAGAAACAAGGUAAGAAGGGAAAAUUCGUAUUAUUUGCUUGCUUCCAUUAGUUACAUUGCUACUCUUUAUAUAGAGUUUUUCUCUGAUUCUAACAAUCCUAAUGGUACUUUUGGCAAUGUGCCUUGGAGGAAAAAGACAAACAAAAGGAAUUCUGCAUUUUAACGGAUACGUGCCACCUCAGCGGACAAACAGAAUCUGAGGAUUUGAGGAUCAUGCUGCGUGUCACUGCAGGGCACCUUGCCUCUACUCACUUUUCCACAAAAUCCCUUAGGUACGGAGGCUUGACAAUUGCCCUUUUUGGCCUUAAUUCUAUUCCUUGAAUUGUUUCUGAAUGUGGUUCUGCUAUUGCCUUUGGUUCCUCUGUGUUGUCUCGUGCUAUGCCUAUGGUUGUAACAUUCCCUCCCGCAUCAAGAACAACCUUGUCCUCAAGGUUGUAAGUCUCCUUCAAGGUCAUCCAUGGCUCCCAGGAUGUGUCUUCCGAUAAAAGGCCCGCCCAUUGGACUAGUACAAACAACUGUCUUUCGGGUUCUUGACCUUCCCAUUUGGUGUCUAAGAUGGUGAGAGGAGUUAUAAGGGGUUGAUUAUCCUCAGCUGAAUCAGGGAGAAUUGCAGGGGUGAUCGUGGAGGUGACUGGUGUGUGGUAGGGCCGUAGUAAUGAACAGUGAAAGACAGGAUGGAUUCUUGAGGAUUCCGGAAGUGCGAGCUUGUAAGCGACAGGUCCAAGCUUUUGGACAAUCUGAAAGGGGCCGUAGAAUCGCUUUGCGAGCUUGGUGUAGUUACCUCCUGAAGCUGUUGACUGACAUUGAGGGCAUAAUUUGACCAAGACCCAGUUGCCCACUUCGAAGUCAACCUCUCUUCUUUUCUUAUUUGCAAUUUCCUUCAUACGGGCUUGUGCCUUAUGUAACUUUUUGGUCAAACUUUGAAUCAUCGUGUCGCGAUCAAUAAGCCAUGUAUCCACAGCAUCAACAUUGGAAUCUCCGGCGAGGUAUUGAGGGAAGUUUGGGGGUUUCUUACCGAAGGUGACCUCAUAUGGUGACAUGCCCGUGGUUGAGUGGACUGAAGUGUUGUAGGACCACUCAGCCCACAUAAGGAAGCGUCCCCACGUUGCCGAUUUUGUGUGCACGAAUGCUCGGAGGUACUGCUCGAGUAUCCUGUUCAUCACUUCCGUCUGCCCAUUUGUCUGUGGAUGGUAGGCAGUACUCAUGCGGAGGGUCGUGCCGCUGAGUUUAAACAACUCCUGCCAAAACGACUGAUGAAGAGGGGGUCUCGAUCUGAGACGAGGCUUCGUGGUGGACCAUGGAUUUUCCCAGAAAUCUCAAUGAACAGGCGGGCUACUUCAAAUGUCGUGUAAUGAGCUGGAAGUGACCCCAAGUGUACACCCUUCGAGAAUUUAUCGACUACGACAAAUAGUGCAGAGUGACCCUUGUACGGAGGAAGGCCGACAAUGAAAUCCAGGGAAAGAUCUUCCCAGGGUCUCGCCGGAACCGGAAGCGGGCACAAAAGACUUGAGCUCUUCUUGUGAUCAUUCUUUGUUUGUUGGCACACCAGGCAUGAGGAGAUGAAGAGCUGAACAUCUUUCUUAAUUGAGGGCCACACGAAAUUCUCACUAAUUCGGGCCAGGGUCUUCGCAAUGCCUAUAUGACCACCCGUGGGGGUGGAAUGAAAUUCCUCGAGGACAGUGGAGAUGAAUGGAAACUCCCGGGGGAGCCAUAUGCGGCCCUUCUGCAGAAUAAGCUCAUUCUGAAUAGAAUAAUCUGGAUAUUUCUCUGGUGUAGUGAGAAUUUGGUCGCGUAGAGCCAAGAAUUCAGUGUUGGUGUUAAGUUCCCUGCGUAGUUCCUGCAAGAAAAUGAAAUUCGAAAUUGUUAGCAGAAAAAAUGUGUUUUGGGAAUUUUCUGACCGCCGGGACAGGCUAUCAGCCACCGUGUUGGAAUGCCCAGAACGGUACUGAAUGGUGUAGUCAAAACCUAAGAGGCGCGCCAAAUAACGAUGUUGCUCUGGUGUUUGCACCGCUUGUGUCAUCAGGUCCUUGAGACUGCGGUGAUCAGUUAAGAUUGUAAAAGGGUGGCCGAGAAGAUAUUGUCGCCACUUUUUGACGGCGGCGGUAAUGGCGGCAAGUUCCCUGACAUACGUGGACGCGCGGAGAAGUUUGGGGGAAAAUUGCUGACUGAAGAAUGCAAUUGGGUGGUUGUGUUGAGACAAUAUCGCCCCCAUGCCUUCGUCGGACGCGUCAGUUUCGACGACGAAGGGAAUGGAGAAAUCCGGCAGGUGGAGGACUGGGGCACGACAUAAGGCUUCCUUGAGUUGAUUGAAAGCUUUAUCAGCUGCUUCAUUCCAUUGGAAUGCAUCCUUGGUCAAAAGGAGGGUCAGUGGAGCCGCAAUUGACAAAUAUCCUCUGAUAAAUUGUCUAUAAAAUCCCGAUAGUCCCAGAAAACCCCUUAAGGCUCUAACAGAGUUAGGGGUGGGCCAUUGGUGGACCGCUUCAAUCUUAGCUGCCAUGGGUUCUACACCACGAGGAGACACGAUGUGCCCCAAGUACUCGACCUGCUGAGUAGCAAAGGAGCAUUUGGAAAGUUUAAGGAAGAAUUUAUUGUCACGAAGAACCUUGAAGGCGGUGUUCAAGUGGUUCAGGUGCUCCAAGAAAGACUUGCUAUAAAUUAGUAUAUCAUCGAAGAAGAUGAUAACGAAUUUACGCAAAUAAGGUUCAAAGGUGUUGUUCAUCGUAGCUUGGAAAGUUGAGGGGGCGUUACAUAAGCCGAAAGGCAUCACCAGGAACUCGUAGUGUCCCUGGUGCGUCCUGAACGCCAUUUUGCUGAUGUCUGCUUCGUUCAUCAAGAUUUGGUGGUAGCCUUGCAUGAGGUCCAGCUUUGAGAACCAGGUGGCGCCGCCGAGCUCGUCCAACAACUCAUCGAUUGUGGGAAUAGGAAAACGGUCUUUGAUUGUCAGUGCGUUGAGGGCGCGGUAAUCAACGCAGAACCGCCAGGACCCAUCACGCUUUUUGACAAGAAGCACAAGUGAAGAGAAUGGGUUGUUACUUGGGCGGAUGAUGCCGGUCUGAAACAUCGCUGAAACUUGGGCUUCUAUUUCGUAUUUUUGAUAAUAAGGGUAUCUAUAAGGUCUUACGUUUACAUGGGAUGAGGCUGAGGUGAGGUGGAUGCAGUGGUUUGUCGGUCGGGAUGGGGGUAGGGAAGAUGGUGGUUGGAACAGGGACUCAAAUUUGUGUAAGAGGGAUUGAAUUUCUGGGGGUGUGUUGGGAGAAGUGUGUAUAGAGGAACAGACCUGGAUGUGGAAGAAGUCACUGACACAAUCCGUCUGAAUCAUACGACGGAGCUGCGGGGGAGAGACCACUUGAAGGUCUUGGACUAAGUCACCCCGGAGUUCGAUAAGUGCUCCCUGAUGAUUAAAUUUCAUCGUUAAGUUGGUGUAAUCAGUUAAAAUUGGUCCGAGAGACUUUAACCAAUGGACGUCGAGAACGAUAUCGGCCCCACAUAUAGGCAAGACACGCAAGUCAGUGGUAAAUGUAUAUCCUUGGAUUUGAAUCAUUGUAUUGGGGCAAAUCGUGUGACAUUUAAUCUCAUUCCCGUUCCCGACAAGGACACGCAAGGGGAAGGUUGGUUGUGGAGUGAGGCCCAGAUGACGAACAAGGCGAUUCUGCACAAAAUUGUGCGUGCUGCCGCCGUCUACGAGGACGACGACGGCGUGGUGAGACACUUGGCCGAGGAGACGGAGUGUUUUCGGCGGAGAGUGGCCCGACAGGGCACAAAAACUUAUUUGGGCAUGGGGUUGUUCGGGUUGGUUUGAGUUGGGCGGGUUCGGGUUUUCGGGGCUCGGGUUAGGGUUGGGUAUAAAAGGGUCUGAAGGUUCUGGAGGGUUAUCUUCGUCCGCGAUUAGAAGGGAGAAACGGGAGGCGCAGCGGUGUCCCUUGGUGAAUUUGUCAUCGCAGUUAAAGCAAAGACCUUGCUCACGGCGGAGAGCCAUUUCGGCCGGAGUAAGGCGCUUGAGAGGCAAGGGAGGGGGCUUGGGUGGAGUGGGUAGCAGAGGGAGAGGCGGGGGAUGUGUUGAGGUUGUGGAGGGGAGUAAGGUAGGUGGUGGUUGGGGUUGAGGUGGAGGUGGGCUAGUGGUGAAGGUGGCGCGGCCACAAAAUGCGCUGCGGUUGUCGGCUAAUUUUUCCUUCUGAAGUCUGGCUAGUCCUGCGGCGUGGACAAGGGUUAGGGGUUGGAGGGCUUGCACCUCCCGUCGUAUGUCGGGGUCGAGACCCGAAACGAAACAACUGAGGAGAAGGGAGGGGGAGAGGCCGACGAUUCGGUUUGCAAGGGUUUCGAAUUGCUGAAGGUACUGAGAGACGAUGCCCUUCUGGGUUAAUUUGAAGAGAAUCCCAGUUGGGUCUUCAUAUGGGGAGUGAGAAAAGCGAGCCUCAAUGGCUUCGAGAAAACUAGCCCAGGUUGUGAGUUGGUGGUUGCGGGAAAGCCAUUGGAACCAGGCUAAAGCUGGCCCUUCCAUGUAGAAGGAGGCUAUGGUGAGUCUCUCGGAUUCUGGGGUUGAGUGGUAAGCAAAAAAUUGGGAAAUUUUAAAAAUCCACCCCGAAGGGUCCGAGCCAUCGAAACGAGGAACAUCUAGUUUCAUUUUGGGAGGGGUGAUGAUGCUGUUUGUGUGGUGGGGGUUGGCCGAGGAAGAUGAAGGGGAGUGGGUGGUGGCAGUGUGUUCCAGGUUCGAGAGGCGGAGGAGCAAGUCCUCAAGCUUAUCAGUGACCUGAAUUUGGCUGGCUACGAGUUUUGCUAUUGCAUCUUUAAUACGAUCCAGGGUAGACUUAUCGUGCGAAGCCAUUGGAGGAGAAGAAAAUGAAAGCACCAGAAAUGUUAAGAGCUACGAAAAGAACCUAGCUUUCGAGACCUAGGUGUCUCCAGAAACAAGGUAAGAAGGGAAAAUUCGUAUUAUUUGCUUGCUUCCAUUAGUUACAUUGCUACUCUUUGUAUAGAGUUUUUCUCUGAUUCUAACAAUCCUAAUGGUGCUUUUGGCAAUUUGCCUUGGAGGAAAAAGACAAACAAAAGGAAUUAUGCAUUUUAACGGAUACGUGCCACCUCAGCGGACAAACAGAAUCUGAGGAUUUGAGGAUCAUGCUGCGUGUCAUUGCAAGGCACCCUGCCUCCACUCACUUUUCCACAAAAUCCCUUAGGUAUGGAGGCUUAACAGUUGCCCUCUUUGGCCUUAAUUCUAUUCCUUGAAUUGUUUCUAAAUGUGGUUCUGCUAUUGCCUUUGGUUCCUCUGUGUUGUCUCGUGCUAUGCCUAUGGUUGUAACAGAUACCCAGAACAACUGUCCUUAUUGAUAAAAUAUAUACUUGAACAAUACUCAUGGAUAACCACGUGAUACUUGGUUAAUUACAAAUGGUCGUUGUUGCUGCAUUGUGUGUGCUAUAUGAAGCUGAUUUCAGACCAAACAUGAGCAUUGUAGUCAAAGCUCUUCAACCUUUGUUGACUGCACGACCUGGACCUGCCAGUGAAACACCAAAGAUGUGCGCAUUCUCCUUUUCCUUUUCGAUCUCUGUUUUUGCCACUUUGGAUUUGGGUCAGUUUAGUGGUAAAAUUUUAUUUACUCCGAUCCACUUCCCAUAUAAAUUUUUGGAAAAUAAUUUUAACUAAAUAUUCUUUGUACAACUUAUCACUUCCCAAAUCACCCAGACUUUGUUAUUGAUGCUUUUGGUCCUUAUUUUGCUUGAUGGUGUUUUGCCUCAUUUGUUGACGCGUGCCACAGAGCUUCCCGUAUUGUUCAAAUUCAGGCGACUCUAUCAGAGAGAGCUCUUGAACUACUUGCUUUGCUUGAUGACGGCGUUCCUAAAUUACUCCUUGAUAUCGGUAAUAUAAAUUUGAAUUCAAGAAUUCAAUUUAGCUAUUCUCUGUGGCAAUUUGGUGACGUGCGAUGUGUGUUGUUAUUUGGUGCCUAACUUCCUAAGGUUGAGGAUUAAUUUCCAAUAUCAAACUCUUUAAUAUCAAUGUUAGUCUUUUUUUCUUUUUUUACAAUACCUUUCUUUUAAUUCUUGCAUCGGAAAUCAAUUGGCGAACAUGACUCGUGCGUAUGCACGGGUUACCGACUAGUGUCAUAUAAAAUAGAGAACCACAUAUUUAAGAACUUAAAAAGCAGAAUGAGUACAUGGUUUUGUUAUAGAUGUAAAAUUGGAAGGAUGACAACAAUAUGCUCCCAUGAUCAUUUGAAGUCAAUGGCUGUAUUUUUAUUUUUUUUUAGAACUUGAUUAUCAAUCAAUGGAACAUGUCAUAUAUUAUUUUUUA